GUUUAUAGUGCUGUGUGUUUAACACUUCAUGACUGAGAGCAGAACAGAACACAAUCUUCAUCAUCACACAAGACACAACAACAACAAUGAACAACAUCAUCAUCCUCAUCUGGACUCUCACACUGUUCGCUCAAGAGAGUAGAGGACAGUACACUGUAACUCAGAGUCCAUCAAUAACAGCAGCUCAACCAGGACAAGAAGUCAGAAUAAACUGUAAAAGCAGCAGUAAUGUCUACAGUGAUAGUAAUGGCUUAUGGAUGAGCUGGUAUUUACAGAAACCUGGAGAAGCUCCUAAACUCCUCAUAUAUCUUGCUUCAACCCGUUACACUGGAACUCCAUCUAGAUUCAGUGGCAGUGGAUCUAACAGUGAUUUCACUCUGACCAUCAGUGGAGUCCAGACUGAAGAUACAGGAGAUUAUUACUGUCAGAGUUUUCACUAUCCAAACAGUAAACGUGUGUUCACACAGUGAUAAAGAGUCGUACAAAAACCUCCGUCAGUCAGAGUCACAGUGACUGCACUGAUACAGCUGAGAGAUACUGCAGCUGCUGAUGAACACAA